rnacentral:rRNA from 1 species
AGAUUAGAGUUUGAUCAUGGCUCAGGAUGAACGCUAGCGGCAGGCCUAACACAUGCAAGUCGAACGGUAACAGGAAAUAGCUUGCUAUUUUGCUGACGAGUGACGCACGGGUGCGUAACGCGUAUACAAUCUACCUUUUGCUGAGGGAUAGCCCAGAGAAAUUUGGAUUAAUACCUCAUGGUAUUAUUGAUAGGCAUCUAUUAAUAAUUAAAGGUUACGGCAAAAGAUGAGUAUGCGUCCCAUUAGCUAGUUGGUGAAGUAACGGUUCACCAAGGCAACGAUGGGUAGGGGUCCUGAGAGGGAGAUCCCCCACACUGGUACUGAGACACGGACCAGACUCCUACGGGAGGCAGCAGUGAGGAAUAUUGGACAAUGGGCGAGAGCCUGAUCCAGCCAUGCCGCGUGCAGGAAGACUGCCCUAUGGGUUGUAAACUGCUUUUAUACAGGAAGAAUAAGCCUUACGUGUAAGGUGAUGACGGUACUGUAAGAAUAAGGACCGGCUAACUCCGUGCCAGCAGCCGCGGUAAUACGGAGGGUCCGAGCGUUAUCCGGAAUUAUUGGGUUUAAAGGGUCCGUAGGCGGAUGAUUAAGUCAGGGGUGAAAGUUUGCAGCUCAACUGUAAAAUUGCCUUUGAUACUGGUCAUCUUGAGUUGUAUUGAAGUAGGCGGAAUAUGUAGUGUAGCGGUGAAAUGCAUAGAUAUU